CCAUUGUCAACCACAUGUACACAGUGGAAACCGACUUCCGUCUGCUACACUUGUUUAUGCUAAUCCCCUCCUCAUUUCCCCUUGACCGGCUGCAUCAACAUUCAUAACUCGGAUUACAAUAUACCGCGGUGUGGAAUAGCUCCCUCGUGACCUUUCCCCACUGUACAAACACGAUCGACCAGCGCGCCGGCAUUUGUGCGCACUGUUUGUUCGGCUUUUAUGCGCACUCAUUCUUGGAGUGCUAAUAUUGUUGAAUAAGGAGCGCGGGAGAGACGGGGCGGAGUCUGGAUACGCGCUGACGUCACGUCACGCUGGAGUGAAGAUCUUCUGGAUACAAUAUAUAUAAGAUUGGUGUCUUGUGCGGUGUUAGCCCGGUUUUCUUUGGAUACACUUUCAAGUUUGAUCGGUUAAUCUGUUUGACUGCCGACUUAAGACACCGCUUUUUUGGGAGUGUUGCUCGACGCUGACUUUCUUCGUGUUGACCUGACACUGUCUCGCUUAACUCGUCACUUCCUUAUUCCAAAUUGUGAUCGCCAGCGAUAAGCAUAAUCAGAAGCGCGCCGGAAAUUCCCAUCCCACCGGCAGCAGUACCGCGGGAAGAUGGAGUGGAGCACGGGACCAGUGCCGACCAUCGUCGUGUACGGCUUCCUCUUCUGCACGGCCGUUCUGGGACAGAUUAACGAGCCGCUAUCAGCCGACAAACAGAAACCGAUGGAGCUCCUGUCAGCGGAAACCGGUGUGGACAAACGCACCCUCUUCAACAACAUCCCGCUGAACAUCACCUACCGCGCCCAGCGUAACCCCACCGCCCUGGGG